GGCUAUUGUUGUAGAAAUGGUUGUUACACAUGGGCUGUACAACUUAUUCUUUUUUCACCAAGGCUGACCUGGAUACAGCUCUGCUGAGUUUCAAUUCUGCCAAAAACACACCAACACUGAGACUCUAACAUUGGAUAUUCCCUGUGAUGAUUAUCCUGAAACCUGGAUACUAAUUGUCUACAUUUGAUCAUUUCCUUUGUGGAAAAGGAAGGUCCACCCUUAGUCUUGACUACAACUUCUGGUGGCAGCCUAUAUAAAUGACAUGAAAGAAGGAAGAUUUUUGCUCUUUGUCUUCUUGACUUUGUUUUGCUGGCCAGUCCAUUCCUUCACUGACAUUACAGCCUACUUUUUUAGGAUUCUGCUGUAUACUGAAGACCACUGGAGAUAAUUAGCCUCAUGGACUGAACAAUUACUAGAUUCUUGGACUAUCCUUUGUUAGACCAUCAUUGUUGGACUCGCUGUACUACAGUUGGCUCUAUACCUUCAAUCAACUGAGCUGUCUCUCUGAAGUUGACUCCUGGACAUUCUUUCUGUCAUGUUCAAUGCUGUCAUAACCCUGCUCAACACUUCUACUUUCUUUGUCCUCACUGCCCAGUUGUUAACCCCGAGGUCACCACAA